UUUCUACAAGAUCGUAAUUCCCCUUCACCUUCUUUGGUCGCAUUAGGGUUUGGCCAUGGCUCGUGGUCCCGGCUCAAGAACCACUACAGGAUUAAUGGGUGCCUAAUGAAUCUGAAUCUGAAUAUGAGCAUAUUGGACAAUAAAAUCACUUGUCACUAGUUUUGUUUUUCAUUCCCAAAUUGCUCAAUCAUCUUUAAUUUUUAUCCUCAUUUGCCAAAGUCAUUUUUAGCUGGAGGUCUGAAGUGUCCUGACCUGCAAUUCCACUUGGUGGUGUAUAUGAGUUAAGAGGCAGAUGACAUCAUGUCAUGAAUGAUCCUAAAUGGCCCAAUGACAACCUUGAAGCUGAGUAUAGAAUUUUUUUGAGUUGUCGCUUGCUUUUCGUUGCCGACUGGCUGGAAAUAGUAUGUUCCUUUCUUUUUUAAAAGCUCUAUGCAUACUUUUAUCUUCUCGACUUCUCUUUAUAUAAUGUUUGUUGCACAAGUACAU
rnacentral:lncRNA from 1 species